rnacentral:rRNA from 1 species
GACGAACGCUGGCGGCGUGCCUAAUACAUGCAAGUAGGACGCAGUUGCGAGCGGGUGAGUAACGCGCAGGUCACUGCCUAUAUGAGGGGGGUAACUAUUGGAAACGAUAGCUAAUACCGCAUACUAGUAGAUGGAUCUGCGUUGUAUUAGCUAGUAGGUUGGGUAAUGGCCUACCGAGGCGACGGUACAUAGCCGGCCUGGGGGGGUGGUCCGCCACACUGGGACUGGGGCACGGCCCAGGCUCCUACGGGGGGCAGCAGUAGGGAAUCUUCGGCAAUGGGGGGAACCCUGACCGAGCAACGCCGCGUGAGUGAAGAAGGUUUUCGGAUCGUAAAGCUCUGUUGUUAAGGAAGCGGUACUUAACCAGAAAGGGACGGCUAACUACGUGCCAGCAGCCGCGGUAAUAC